AUGGAUGUCUUCCAGCAACUGUUCGAGAUGCGGGGCCGUGGCUUUGGCAAGCUCAACCAAGCCCUCAUGACCCUUCUGCCCAAGCGCGCCGACGCCCAGCAGCUCCGCGACUACCGCCCGAUCUGCUUGAUCCAUAUCGUGGCCAAGAUAUUCACCAAGGUCCUGUCUCUGCGGCUUGCCCCCAGAUUGGAUAGCCUGGUCAGUCGCAACCAGAACGCGUUCAUCACCGGCCGGAGCCUCCAUGAUAACUUCAUCCUCGUGAGGCAAUCUCUCAAAUUGCUGCACCAACUCGGAGCUCCGCGGAUCAUGCUCAAGCUCGCCCUCACGCGCGCCUUUGACUCCAUAUCUUGGCCAUUCCUCUUUGAGGUUUUGCGCCAAUAUGGGUUCGGGGACAGAUUUCGGGAAUGGCUUGCGAUCUUGCUUUCGACGUCCAGCACCCGUGUCAUGAUGAACGGCGGGCCAGGCCCCCCGAUCUGGCACCGUUGUGGCCUGCGCCAAGGCGACUCCAUGUCCCCCCAGCUGUUCGUUCUCGCUGUGGACACGCUUGGGCGGUUGAUGCGCCGAGCGCUCGAUGCCGGCAUUCUGCAGCAGUUGCACCCCCGACGCCCAAUCGCGGCGAUCUCCCUCUAUGCUGACGAUGUGAUGCUAUUCUGUCAUGCCACGCCGAGGACACUGCUGCCAUCAAGGGUAUCUUGA
rnacentral:rRNA from 1 species